rnacentral:rRNA from 1 species
GACGAACGCUGGCGGCGUGCUUAACACAUGCAAGUCGAACGGAAAGGCCCUGCUUGCAGGGUGCUCGAGUGGCGAACGGGUGAGUAACACGUGGGUGAUCUGCCCCUUACUUUGGGAUAAGCCUGGGAAACUGGGUCUAAUACUGGAUAGGACCAUGCUGUAGGUGGUGUGGUGGAAAGAUUAGUUUCGGUAAGGGAUGAGCUCGCGGCCUAUCAGCUUGUUGGUGGGGUAAUGGCCUACCAAGGCGUCGACGGGUAGCCGGCCUGAGAGGGUGGACGGCCACAUUGGGACUGAGAUACGGCCCAGACUCCUACGGGAGGCAGCAGUGGGGAAUAUUGCAAAAUGGGCGCACGCCUGAUGCAGCGACGCCGCGUGGGGGAUGACGGCCUUCGGGUUGUAAAGUCCUUUCAGCCAUGAAGAAGCCCUUGUGGUGACGGUAGUGGUAGAAGAAGCACCGGCUAACUACGUG